GACGAACGCUGGCGGCGUGCCUAAUACAUGCAAGUCGAGCGGCCCAAUAGAAGCUUGCUUCUAUUGGUUAGCGGCGGACGGGUGAGUAACACGUGGGCAACCUGCCUGUAAGACUGGGAUAACUUCGGGAAACCGGAGCUAAUACCGGAUAAUUCAUCCCCUCGCAUGAGGGGGUGCUGAAAGUCGGUUCACGCUGACACUUACAGAUGGGCCUGCCGCGCAUCAGCUAGUUGGGAAGGUAAUGGCUAACCAAGGCGACGAUGCGUAGCCGACCUGAGAGGGUGAUCGGCCACACGGGGACUGAGACACGGCCCAGACUCUUACGGGAGGCAGCAGUAGGGAAUCUUCCACAAUGGACGAAAGUCUGAUGGAGCAACGCCGCGUGAGCGAUGAAGGCCUUCGGGUCGUAAAGCUCUGUUGUUAGGGAAGAACAAGUACCGGAGUAACUGCCGGUACCUUGACGGUACCUAACCAGAAAGCCACGGCUAACUACGUGCCAGCCGCCGCUGUAA
rnacentral:rRNA from 1 species